rnacentral:rRNA from 1 species
CGAUAACUAGUGACCCCUCUGCCAAAGAAGUCACACACACUGCUUCAACGGUAGCACGAGUGCUGGCACAGCGCGUAGAGGGAUUUGACAAAGUGCGGCCUAGAUACGGAUUGGAAGAUGACGACGAAGACGAUUCAAAGAAGAC